rnacentral:rRNA from 1 species
CAGCCGCCGCGGGAAUACGUAGGUGGCAAGCGUUGUCCGGAAUUAUUGGGCGUAAAGCGCGCGCAGGCGGAUCAGUUAGUCUGUCUUAAAAGUUCGGGGCUUAACCCCGUGAUGGGAUGGAAACUGCUGAUCUAGAGUAUCGGAGAGGAAAGUGGAAUUCCUAGUGUAGCGGUGAAAUGCGUAGAUAUUAGGAAGAACACCAGUGGCGAAGGCGACUUUCUGGACGAAAACUGACGCUGAGGCGCGAAAGCCAGGGGAGCGAACGGGAUUAGAUACCCCAGUAGUCCCUGUCUCUUAUACC